AUCUACUGUCUUGGAAGGAUUUCCUUGAAUUAGCAUAUUGUUUCUGGAGAAUUUGCUUUAUACUAUUUUCUGGAUUUGAGCACUGAUGUCAAGAUCUGAGAUCUAGAGUUGGAAAGACCUGUGUUGAAAACUCUUUAAGUUGAGUGGAAGGAUUAUCUCAUUUCUCAAACUUACCAGCUACAUAAACAACACUGAGAUGUGUCCUGUUCCAGUCCGCUAGAGAGCAGUCACCUCAGCAAGAUUUGUAGGAGGAACACAAAUUCAGAAGAACUGUCUCUCCCAACAGAUUAGAUAAUAUUGACUUCAUUAAAGAAUAAAAUGAGAAAAAAUGUUCAUAAGGAAAAUAUAUGAUAUCUACAGCUUCAAAAUCACCUAAAAAUGGAAGUGUGUUUUUAUUAUUAAAAAUUAUAUGG